GUGGUCAGGUCCCAGACCCUGGAAGAUGGCGCUGGCUGCUGGCUGAGGAGAGGAUCCCGGAGCUCAGGAACAGGGUACUACACAGUGAGGUGGCAGGACGGGGAUCAGGUGUAAGCCACUGUGGCACUGCUGUUCAGCUUGGAGUGAAGAAGCUCCCCUACUAAUUCUUGAGGACAUGGGGGACAGGAAACAGCCAGUCCACACAGACUGCCAUCCUUACUGAGGAAUGGAACCAGAGUUACUGAAAGACUAUGGUGCUCUAAGAAAAACAUAGAGGUACCGGGCAAGAAGUGCAGUACUGGACAAGAGGUCAUCUCUGCUCAUCUCUGUUAACCAAACCUACUGUUUGAAAUUUGAGUUUUCCAUGAGCAGAAAUGGGAAACAAGCCACAUGAAACUGU